GACGAACGCUGGCGGCGUGCCUAAUACAUGCAAGUUGAGCGAUGAAGAUUGGUGCUUGCACCAAUUUGAAGAGCAGCGAACGGGUGAGUAACGCGUGGGGAAUCUGCCUUUGAGCGGGGGACAACAUUUGGAAACGAAUGCUAAUACCGCAUAAUAACUUUAAACAUAAGUUUUAAGUUUGAAAGAUGCAAUUGCAUCACUCAAAGAUGAUCCCGCGUUGUAUUAGCUAGUUGGUGAGGUAAAGGCUCACCAAGGCGAUGAUACAUAGCCGACCUGAGAGGGUGAUCGGCCAAAUUGGGACUGGGACACGGCCCAAACUCCUACGGGAGGCAGCAGUAGGGAAUCUUCGGCAAUGGACGAAAGUCUGACCGAGCAACGCCGCGUGAGUGAAGAAGGUUUUCGGAUCGUAAAACUCUGUUGGUAGAGAAGAACGUUGGUGAGAGUGGAAAGCUCAUCAAGUGACGGUAACUACCCAGAAAGGGACGGCUAACUACGUG
rnacentral:rRNA from 1 species